GUGCAAUGUUGCUUGCUGUUUUUUCUCUGCUCCAGAACAGCUCGCUCAGAGGAAGAUCGAGACUCACUGUGGGAUGCCUGGGGUUCAUGGAGUGAAUGUUCACGCACGUGUGGAGGAGGGGCUUCGUAUUCACUGAGACGUUGCCUGAGCAGCAAGACCUGUGAAGGGCGAAACAUCCGAUACAGGACAUGCAGCAAUGUGGACUGUCCUCCAGAAGCAGGUGAUUUUCGUGCUCAGCAGUGCUCGGCGCAUAACGAUGUCAAGUAUCAGGGACAGUUUUAUGAGUGGCUUCCUGUCUCUAACGAUCCUGACAACCCAUGUUCGCUGAAGUGCCAGGCCAGAGGAACAGCUUUGGUUGUAGAGCUGGCACCAAAAGUUCUGGAUGGGACCCGAUGCUACACUGAAUCCCUGGAUAUGUGCAUCAGCGGCUUGUGCCAAAUUGUUGGCUGUGACCGCCAGCUGGGAAGCACUGUCAAGGAAGAUAACUGUGGGGUCUGCAAUGGUGAUGGGUCCACCUGCCGGCUGGUUCGAGGCCAGUAUAAGUCCCAGUUCUCAGCAAAUAAAAUGGUCGAUACAGUAGUUGCUAUUCCCUAUGGAAGCAGGCAUAUUCGCCUCGUGCUGAAAGGACCCGAUCAUUUAUAUUUGGAAACCAAGACUCUCCAAGGUGUUAAGAGUGAAAACAACCUCAGCUCCACAGGUUCCUUCAUUGUGGACAAUUCUAGCAUUGACUUCCAGAAGUUUCCAGACAAGGAGAUACUGAAAAUAUCUGGGCCUCUCACUGCAGACUUCACUAUCAAGAUAGUCUACGUUGGUGCUGCUGACAGUUCAGUCCAGUUCAUCUUCUAUCAGCCUAUCAUUCAUCGAUGGAGAGAAACUGAUUUUUUCCCUUGUUCAGCAUCCUGUGGAGGAGGUUAUCAACUGACUUCUGCUGAAUGUUUUGAUCUGAGGAGUAAUCGGGUAGUAGCAGAUCAAUACUGUCACUAUUACCCUGAAAAUAUCAAGCCAAAGCCAAAACUUCAGGAGUGUAAUCUGGAUCCUUGUCCUGCAAGUGAUGGAUACAAGCAGAUCAUGCCCUAUGACCUCUACCAUCCCCUUCCUCGAUGGGAAAGUACGCCCUGGACUGCCUGCUCCUCAUCCUGCGGAGGGGGCAUUCAAAGCCGCAGUAUCUCAUGUGUGGAGGAAGACAUUCAAGGGCAUAUUAGCCCCGUGGAAGAAUGGAAAUGCAUGUACACUCCAAAGAUGCCUCUUGUCCAACCUUGCAAUAUAUUUGACUGCCCAAAGUGGCUUGCUCAGGAAUGGUCACCGUGCACUGUGACCUGUGGACAAGGGCUCAGAUAUCGCGUGGUCCUUUGCAUUGAUCACAGGGGGAUGCAUACAGGAGGCUGUAGCUCUAAAACAAAGCCACACAUAAAAGAAGAAUGCAUUGUACCCACUCCUUGUUACAAACCCAAAGAGAAACUUCCCGUGGAAGCAAAGUUGCCGUGGUACAAACAAGCUCAAGAGCUGGAAGAAGGAGCAGUGGUGUCUGAAGAACCUUCGUUUAUUCCUGAGGCUUGGUCCUCCUGUAGUGUCACCUGUGGAGUGGGCAGCCAGGUGCGGCUUGUGAAAUGUCAAGUGCUUCUGUCUUUCUCUCAGUCUGUGGCUGAUUUGCCUAUUGAUGAAUGUGAAGGUCCCAAACCCGUGUCUCAGAGAGCCUGUUACAGUGGUCCCUGCAAUGGAGAAGCAGCUGAACAUACUCCUGAAGAAACGGAUCUGCUGUAUGGUAGAUUGCAGGAAUUCGAUGAGCUCUAUGACUGGGAAUAUGAGGGCUUCACUGAGUGUUCGGAGUCUUGUGGAGGAGGUGUCCAGGAGGCUGUGGUGACCUGCCUGAACAAGCAAACCAGGGAGAUUGCAGAUGAGACUCAGUGUGUAACAAGUCGCCGUCCUCCACAGCUGCUGAAAGCCUGUAGUCUGGAUCCCUGCCCUCCAAGAUGGGAAAUUGGGAAAUGGAACACCUGCAGUCUUACGUGUGGGGUUGGAUUGCAGACACGAGAUGUCUUCUGUUCUCACCUACUAUCAAGAGAAAGUAAUGAGACCGUGAUUUUAGCAGAUGAAUUGUGCCAUAAACCUAAGCCAUCGCUUGUACAAGCCUGUAAUCGCUUCGACUGCCCGCCCUCCUGGUAUACUACAGAAUGGCAAGAGUGUUCACAGACAUGUGGAGGUGGUGUCCAGAAGCGAGAUAUACUUUGCAAGCAGCGUCUGGCAGAUGGAAGCUUGUUAGAGCUGCCAGAAACAUUUUGCUCCAUGCCGAAGCUGAUUUCCCAGCAAACCUGCAAAAAUGAGGACUGUCCUAAUGAGUGGCUUCUUUCUGACUGGUCACAGUGUUCAGUGAGUUGUGGAGAGGGGACCCAAAGUCGAAAUGCUAUUUGCAGAAAGAUGCUGAAAACUGGGGGUUCUGUUAUCAUCAAUUCCUCCCUGUGCCCACCUCUGCCAUUCUCAUCCUUACUCAGGCCCUGUGCACUAGCAACCUGUGCAAGGCACAACAGGCCAGCUCAUAAGCAAAGUCCUCAUAUUGUGGCCGUAAAGAAAGUUUACAUCCAGACAAGGAAGCAGAAGAAGCUACACUUUAUUGUGGGUGGGCAUGCCUAUCUGCUGCCCAAAACCUCUGUUAUUCUCCGAUGCCCCACAAGGAGGUUCCGGAAGUCAAUGAUCUUCUGGGAGAAGGAUAACAAGAGGCUCAUCAGCUCAGCUCACAUCACCAUUGCACCCUAUGGGUACAUGAAAAUCCAUCGUUUGAGGCCUUCAGACACUGGGAUAUAUACCUGCAUAGCAGGGCCAGCCCGGGAGCAUUUUGUAAUUAAACUAAUAGGAAGCAACAAAAAUCUCAUUGCUGGGCAGCCAGCUGGCAUUAGGGAGGAAGAGGCCAUGAGAAAGUCCGGUCUAAAUGAAGCCUUGCGAACACAGGAGAAACAUAUCAAUGGGAUUCUCUUCAAUGGAAGCAAGACUGAAAAGCGAGGGCAUCUUGCUGACCCUAGUGGCUGGUAUGACAAUAUUGUCUCAAGGUUGCUACAGCACAAGGGCUGGCCAGGGGGAAAUCUGGAGUUCCGUGAAGCCCAGGAGUCCACAGAGAGAAAUGUGUCCUCAGAGGAAGACCAGAGCCAGGAGUAUAGCCUGCCAUAUACUAUGGUCACAGAUCAGAAACAGUUGGAUGAUAUCAUAAGGAAUUUGUCUCAGCAACCUGAGGAGCUUAAAGAUAUUUACACUGAGCAGAUUGUUGUACAGUUGGCUCAUGAGAUUUUCAAGAGCCACUUGGAGCAUCAGGAAUCUGUCCUCAAAGCAUCAAGACGAAGAGUUGAUUCAGCUUCCAUGGAAUACCCUUUCCACAGACAUGUUUCUGGAUUUACCAGCUCCUUGAGGACAUCAUCUGCUGAAGCAUUUCUUCCCACCUCUAUGAACCCAACGAAUGGCUUGCACAGCCCUCAUCAAAAGCCUGCCAUCCUCCGAAAGAUUUCAGCAGCACAACAGCUUUCUGCUUCAGAGGUUGUCACCCACCUGGGACAGACAGUGGUUCUAGCCAGUGGCACACUGAGUGUGCUGCUUCACUGCGAAGCAGUGGGAAACCCAAAGCCCACCAUCAGUUGGGCUAAGAAUGGAGAGGAGGUGAAAUACAAUGAUAGGAUGCUACUUCAGCCUGAUGACUCCUUGCAGAUUCUAGCACCUGUGGAAGCUGAUGUGGGUUUCUAUGCUUGCAACGCAUCUAAUGCUCUGGGAUCUGACUCUGUGUCCAUUGCUGUCACUCUAGCAGGAAAACCACUAAUAAAGGCAUCAAGAGCUACUGUGAUCAACACUGAAUUGCCUGCUGUCACUGCUGAUAUUGGAAGCACAGUGAAAACAAUCCAAAGAACAAAUGUUACCAUUAGCUGCCAGGUUGCAGGUGUUCCUGAAGCGGAAGUUACUUGGUUUAAAAAUAAGGUCAAGCUGUCCCCUGCUCACCACCUGCACGAUGGGUUGCUGCUAAUUGCAAAUGUUUCUCUGUCGGAUCAGGGGUUAUAUUCCUGCAGGGCAGCCAAUCUACGUGGGGAGGUAACUGAAAGCUCCCAGCUGUUGGUUCUUGAGCCUCCACGACCCCUUCCUUACCUAGAAAAUUUGACAGCAGUGCUUUCCAGCAUUGGGACCAACCCUCCUUCAGUGCUGACCUCUCCUUCAGGAACAAAAAUGACUAUCAGUCCAGGGAGCUCUGCUCUAAUAGGUAAGCUUUAUGAUUUGUUUGUUUGUUUGUUUGUUUUUAGAUUAAAGAAGUCCUUUUAUGUUACAGGGUUAGAUUAUUUUUGCAGCCUGCUGGCUGUCUGGCCAUGGAGUCCAUUGGCAGUCAUAAUCAUUGCCAACUUGUUUCAGAACUCAGAAAGUCUUUGUUUGAAAUUCAUUUAA
ensembl:lncRNA